rnacentral:tRNA from 1 species
GGGGGUAGAAUUUGGGGUAGAACAUUUGACUGCAGAUCAAGAGGUCACCGCUUCAAAUCUGGGUACCCCCU